rnacentral:tRNA from 1 species
ACCUGGCUGGCUCAGUUGGUAGAGCGUGAGACUCUUGAUCUCAGGACUGUGGGUUCAAGCCCUACAUUGGGUG